GGAGAGAAUAAAAGAGCCAUGACAUGACAACAACCGAUUGUGAAAAAUGAUUGGCUAAGGGGAGGGUUUAUAAGCCAACACACUUUCACACUUUGAUCAGACCUACGACUAAAGCUCCUUGAAUGAAUAUUGGAUAUCAUUCAAAACAAACAGAGCAAGAGCUACAGGAUCAACUUAUUGUACCCAGCAGGGACUGACAUUCCUAUUUUUCUGUAGAAUCAAGGACUUAGACUCAUAGAUCUUAUCAAACAGUAAGACUCUGUUGGUUUUUGAACUCAGAACCGUAGAAAACAAGGUUUGUCAGUCCCUGCUGGGAUGGCCCACCGGGCCGGACCCAAUCUGGGUCCAAAGUGUCGCGCCAUAGAGCCGGACAGCAGCAGACAACAAAUUCCAGAAAAACGUCAGAGACAGGAGACACCAUCGACCAGUUCCACCGUGCUGCCGUUCUUCAUACACGAAAGGUACUCUAAGAAAUAAAAUGCUGUAUUUAGUCAGUCAAAAUAUGAUG
rnacentral:lncRNA from 1 species